CCUACGGGUGGCAGCAGUGGGGAAUAUUGGGCAAUGGACGCAACUCUGACCCAGCAACGCCGCGUGAAGGAUGAAGGUCUUCGGAUUGUAAAGUUCUGUGUAUGGGGAUGAACACAGUGACGGUACCCCAUUUUCAAGUUUCGGUUAACUACGUGCCAGCAGCCGCGGCAUUACGUAGGUGGCAAGCGUUAUCCGGAUGGACUGGUUGUAAAGGGUGCGUAGGUGGUUUGGUAAGUUGGCGGUGUAAUUCCGGGGCUCAACCUCGACGUUAGCGCCAAAACUGUUAGUCUAGUGUGCAGGGGGGGUAAGUGGAAUUCGUGGUGUAGCGUUGGAAUGCGUAGAUAUUAGGAGGAACACCAGGGGCGAAGGCGACUUACUGGACUGUAACUGACACUGAGGCACGAAAGCGUGGGGAGCAAACAGGAUUAGAUACCCCUGUAGUC
rnacentral:rRNA from 1 species